UACGGGGGGAGCAAGCGUUGUUCGGAUUUACUGGGCGUAAAGAGCGUGUAGGCGGCCAAGCAGGUCCGUUGUGAAAACUGGAGGCUUAACCUCCAGACGUCGACGGAAACCGCGUGGCUAGAGUCCGGAAGAGGAGAGUGGAAUUCCUGGUGUAGCGGUGGAAUGCGCAGAUAUCAGGAGGAACACCAAUAGCGAAGGCAGCUCGCUGGGACGUUACUGACACUGAGGCGCGAAAGCGUGGGGAGCGAACAGG
rnacentral:rRNA from 1 species